UAUUAGCUCACUCAGACAGUAAAGAAUCUGCCUGCAAUGCAGAAGACCCAGGUUUGAUCCCUGGGCUGGGAA
rnacentral:tRNA from 1 species